GCUAGCAGCAAUAUCACCCUGCAACUCAGAACUAGCAACCUACUAAAGCUAAGCAGGUAUGAGUUUGGUCAGUACCUGGAUGGGAGACCUCCUGGGAAAACUAAGGUUGCUGCUGGAA
rnacentral:rRNA from 1 species